ensembl:lncRNA
AGUUUUGUUGUGUCUUUUGCCUCAGAGGCGGACGACUCCCCCUCUGCGUCUGACAGGUUGACGAGUUGGCCGUUGUUUUUUUCCCUUUGACAGUAAUAUGGAUUAAAUUGAUAAGAAGACCAUUAGCUGGCGCUUCGGCGCGUCGCCAUGACAACGUGUCUUCUGUGGAGAAAGGCACGGUGCCGAAGGUGUCUCUCUUGAGAGAAACCGUAGCGCUGUGUGAGUGUGGGAUUUUUUUUUUUUUUUCAUGUGUUGAAUUAGCAUUGAAUAAAAAUGAAAUCAACAUUAAUAAAACAAUAAUGCUCUCACUUCCAUUACAUUUAAUCAAAACAACACACCGGCCCCUUGUGUGUGCAUUUAAAAAUAAUCUGUUACGGCAGAUGUGUGCACCUCCUACCUCUUAGCUCCACAGUGUGUUUUCCAACAUCUGGACCUGCCACUCAAAGCGUCUCCUGGGCAUCGGUAACAUCUGCACACGCCACAAGCCAUCUGAUUGGUAAAAUGAACAUCCCUCUGUUGCAAAGGCGGCCGUUUGGUGGUCUGGUGGUGCGACUGAGAGGAGGAGGAGGGAGGGGGGGGGUCACGUCUUGAAUUGCAAAGCUCGCUUUUAAAACGGCGGCAGUUUGAGGCUGGAAGGUCAGCGGAGCUCAUGACUGGAAUGUUGCUUCGCCCCGCACAACAGCGAAUACGCAUGCAACUGCGUGGGAGGAAGCGAGUAGCCAACACAUCCUCAAUGUGCCCUUGAGCAAUGCAAAGGCAGCGGCUUUCACCUGCACGGAGAGCCGUCUUUGUGACUGUGUGCAAAUUGCGACGUGAGCUGCGUUCAGCUCAACCUUGGAGAUUAAUGGUUAGUGAAAAACAUUUUUCAUUUUGAGCGAACCAACUAUAUGUGCAUAUAUAAUAAAUAUGUCAGAUGACCUACAAGCAACCCUGAGCCACAUUACAACCAUUCACAGAGCAUUGAUGCUGGAGUUUUAGAUUAGUUUUGCUCACAAAUAUUUAUCUAGCCAUUUCAGAUAUUACAUAGACUAUAUGAUUUCAAAAUUUGAACUCUGCAUAACCCGCCUCCCACAGGCGAGGACCUCCUAAAUCCGUCGUCACCUUCCCAUUCUUUUGUAUUGUUUCUGUAUUGUUUACCAGGCGUUUUUAGGUGUUAAUUAAAUAAAUGGAGUCCCCUUUUCAUGCUUGGACAUUUUAGGACUAACCAGCUCGACGGGAACAACUCUGCUUGGUUAUUGUCAUGUGAGGAUGCGGAUGUGUGACGGCUUGUGACAUGCGGCCUCAGGCUCAGUCGUGUAGCGUCAUCAAGGUCAUUUUAACAGGGUUCUUGUUUGGAAAAAGUGUCAGCUGGCCAAAUGUUUAUAAAUGCUGGUUAACCGAGGUCCUGAGAAGGGCCUCGCUGAAGAUUCAGCGCACCGCAAACGCUCAGAUGGCCUAGAUUUAAAAUUUGAUAAAUGGAUUUGUGCAAAUGGAAGUGUCCAAUCUGCAACUAAUCUAUCGGCUGAAAGUAUAAAUACAUUCUGGGGAGGGAAACGUUUUGGCCCUCCGAUUCCACAUCAUGAAUUCAGUACCGUCCCUGGAGUCACUUUACUUCAUUAUAAUUAUCAAUGUGUUUUUAUCACUCAGGAACGCCUCCUUCCAAAGUAUGAAUAUUCUCUGUGGAGACGCGUCCACACAGCCAUCCAACACACGCUCGCUUCUUCCACCCUCACUCUCUCCGUCAUGCUCCGGCGACUUCUGGAGCGCUCUUAAAUUAAUCAGUGAUUUAAUGGGAGCUGGUUAAAUAUUCAAAUUCAAUAGCGAGCUGCUUUAACACAUCUGCAGCUCCGAGGACACAGGCUGCCGCAUCCCGCCGCGCAUUUAGUGCACAACGGUUCGGCAAAAAGGAUGCACCAAACCAACAAACACAUAGGACGUACUGAUUGCACUGACACGUAAUUCUUCGCCCCAACAUCGGUUUUAUAUUUUAGUCGCUUCUCAGCGAAAUCAACUUCAAAGAAAAGCAAACACUUUUCACUCUUGGCACACAGAUGGCACAACUGGACAACGCCCUGCACGUGCGAUGCAUUUUAGGCCGCGGUCGAAAAUGUCCCGAGAGGGCAGGGAUGGCGUCGGCGCCGCUGGUGACGUCGGCCGUCAUUCUCAGCACCUGGUGGUUUGACUCGGCCUUUUUAAGGGGAGCACCUGUCAAAUAAAUCCCGGCCGCUGCAGCCUGUCAUCAGCUCGUCCCGUUAAACGUUGCACUGUGUUGAGAACCCUGUCAGUCUUAAAUGCACACACACACACACACACACACACAGGGACGGUAAACUACCACCUCAGCUAACCAACCGUCUGUUCUGAUUGAUGGGACUAUCAAGGAAAUAGUGUGCAGCUGCAUGUAUGCACUGUUUUUUUUUUUUUUUUUCAGCACAAUGAUGUACGAGCACUAAUAUCUAUUUUCAAUCUGAGCUCAGCAUGAAUUCUAUUUAAAUAUCCAUUAAGGCUCAUUCCAUCGUGCACGUUCAUGUUGGGUCCCCAAGUGGCUCCUCCUCGCGGUGGCUGAACUGAAUCUGUGGACAUCUAAAAUUAGCCGUGCGAUACAUAAGAAGCGUGCCGCUUGUGUCCAGUGCGGCUUCCCGUAUCGAACAAAACCCAAAGCUCGACAGCGGUGAACUCAAUUAGCGGCGUGCACGUGGUAUUGUUAGUUUGUGUCACCAUUUAAACAAAGGUAAACAAAAUUUAGACCCAUUCCCGAAGGCAAAAUCCAGUUCAGUAAGUUGUUGAGCCGUUUUAAGCAGAUUUCUACAUAAUGCAUUGUAGCUUUCUCCAUAAAGAAUGAUUUCUGCACUGUAAAUGUAUUUGUUUUUCUGUGCGUGGGUCGGUUCUGCGAGGCUGUACGAAGGUGAUCAAGUAACAGCGUGGCGCGGAAGCUGUUUUCGGUUCAAACUCCUAGAAAAAAGAGCGAGAUUGCAGGCGGCCCCUCAAUCAGCUGUGCAAAAAGCACACAAGUCCUGCUGGGACCAAGUAGAGUGCUUUGAGUGCAGACUUAAGGGCUCCAGCAUUUGGGGAUAAUCAUUGACAACAUAUUUUUUGUGCAAACACACACACACACACACACACACAACAUGCAUGUGUCUCUUUGGUAACAUUUGCAGUGUUUUUCUGCCGUGUGUCUAAAUGACCUGGUAAUUAUAACAUGUCCUCUACCUGUGGGAGAGGUGUUCACACACACUGUGCCCUUGUUGUCUCUGGGGGGUGGGGGGGGCAUCAGCCGGGGUCAGAGUAGCCGAGGUAAUGCGUGUUAAAGAUAAUAAAAAAAGCACAUACACUAAGACACCGUGUGUCGAUGGGACCUCAUUUGAGAACGCUUGGGGGGGGUUUAAUACCCCCUUUCUUUGCAACUGUCAGGUGGAUGGUGCCGCCCACCCUAUUGGACCCUAACUCCUUGUUUCCUAAUGAUAGCUUAGUCGAUUGGAAGAAGCGCCAAGUUGUCCGGGCGUUACUAUCUCACCCAUCGGCUGUCGCUGCUAUUGAUGUUUCCAAGGAACUGAUCGCACUCGUCCACAGUGUGUGUGUGAGUGUGUGUGAUGGAAACAGGAAGACUUAGAACAUGUGUGUGUGUGCAGACUUUCCCUUAACAAAGAAUGAAUAAUUCAUGUGCUGUUGUGUAGACAUUUCCUCAAACAAGCUUCUCUCUAUUCAAUGCUAAACUCUCAUCAGCCGUCUGACAUCAAUAAUGUGAUUUUACACAGUUCCUAAAAUAAAAAAUGAUAAUGCGGACAGCGUCGCUUAAUGGGGAACAACUUCUCUAGUUAACGGCUGUUACAAGAUACAAACCCUGAUGGAAAUUAAUUGAAAGGCAAUCAUGUCUGGCAACGGGGCCUUAAAACAUCCGUGACAAUAAAAAGCCUAAUAACCCGCUGCCUCGUAACAAUCGUUACAUAAUUACAUGACAUUACGUGACACGAUGAGGUUUUUCUUGUCGAUUUCCUUCUCAAUUUGUCCGUCCGAAUGGUUGAGGAGGAAGGAAAUGACGUGACACGGGACGCGCUAUUCAGCCAGAAGAAAUCUAGUCAGAAAAAUCUGAAAUUGUGAAAGAAAGAAAGUGUGUGUGUGUGUGUGUGUGUGUGUGUGCCAGAUGUUGAAGUGUAUGUGCGUUAGUGGCCCCAUAUCUCGAGGAGUCGAGGAACCUCCCCUGGUCAACAAUCUAUGAAAUCUGUUUCUUUCAGUGCAUCAAAUCCAAUACCGAGAGGGCCCCCGUCUUCCCAAAGUAGGCCAUUUGACACACACACACACACACACACACACACACACACACACACACACACACACACACACACACACACCACUACACAGAAGGAGUCACAAAUGCACACAAAGUAGUUUGUGUGCAUGCCCCUCGUGCACACUCAGUCACUCACUUACACACACCUACACACACAUACCUUUGCACAGUGACAUGCUCGACACUCACUGUCAGCAGCAGGCAGGAGUCCAGCAGCGAGGUGCCCGGCAAAUUGCCGGUGAUUAUAGCGGUUUCACAAAAUUCCGUGGAGGCGGGAGAGAGAGAGAGAGAGAGAGAGAGAGAGAGAGAGAGAAAAAGGGGGGAGGAAAGAAGGCGGGCGUGACGGAAAGGGGAAGGCAAUCAAUGAAUUCAGAGAAACUGACUUUCCAAUCCAUUCCUCUCCAUCCGUCCGCGGUUUGCGUUCUCAUUGGGCGGGGCUGCACAGGUGGAAUAAAAGGUGUUUGAUGAAGGAUGAGAUUUUCUGAAAUGCCCUUUCAUCUUUUGGCCUGAGAAUUUUCCACAAAGGGACAGUGGGAUCAAUAACCAUCAAAGAGCCCAUUCGUUUCCUCACAAAUGAAGGGAACCUGAACAGAAACAUCGUUAUCGUUGCGUUGUGUGCAUCUUGCAUGCAGAUGUAUUUUAGAUCUAGACAGAACCAGGCUAGCUUUUUCCCCCUGUUUCCAGUCUUUGUGCUAAGCUAAGCUGACCAGCGGUUGUCUAAUCAGUAUCAGUCUGGUCUUCAUCAACCGCUCGCAGUAAGUGAACGGUCGCCCUUCAAAUCAAAAAAUGCUCCGGCAGAAAAGAAGCAGCGGGAGCAGAAGCGUCAACCUCCCC